rnacentral:tRNA from 1 species
UGAUUUUUAAUUUGCAGCGAGUUGACUCUUAAUCAAUAGGUCCAAGGUUCGAAUCCUUGAAAGCCCACCA